UGGCGGCCGCGGGAUUCGAUUUUGAAAGGGAAACGAUUGAAGUCAGUCUUGAUGGCGCGAAAUCAACCCUCUCGUCUGGAGAGACAUGUUGUGGCGGGCCUCAAAACCUCCACAGCAUGGAUUUCCCGAUGAGGGGGAGUACUUUCGUGUCCGCUGGUUAACAUCAAUUUCGAACGUCAUAAAAAGGCUGGAGGGAUGUGGCUCCUUCGGGAGUGUUAUAACCUUUAGCGGAAUGUGGUGGUCGGGAUUG
rnacentral:rRNA from 1 species